rnacentral:misc_RNA from 1 species
UGGUUCUGGCAUCGAUGAAGAACGCAGCGAAAUGCGAUAAGUAAUGUGAAUUGCAGAAUUCAGUGAAUCAUCGAAUCUUUGAACGCACAUUGCGCCCGCCAGCACUCUGGCGGGCAUGCCUGUCCGAGCGUCAUUUCAACCCUCGAGCACCGCUCGGCGUUGGGGGAGCGGCCCGCGUGCCGCCCCCCGAAAUGCAGUGGCGACCUCGCCGCGUCCACCCCUGCGCAGUAGCUCUCCCGAGAACCUCGCAUCGGCGGCGCGGCGGCGGUCACGCCGUGAAACGAACCCCAUCAAGAGUUGACCUCGGAUCAGGUAGGGAUACCCGCUGA